CGAAUUUUAUAUUAUUUUCUAUUUUUAUUACAAUUAAACUGUAUAUAUCUGUAGACUACCAGUACCAGUAUUUAAAUUGCGUUAUAUUUUAGAUUUUGCUUGGCAAUUAACAAAUGUUUAUUACCAUGCCUGAGAGAAGAAAUGUUGGAUAUUGCCAAAAAAAUAGAUAAAUAUCAUUCUUUUCCUCAGGUAGCCUAUUUAAAACGUGUUAAAUUAGAUAGUCUGUGUAUAUAAUUUUAGUAAAUUAUGUUGCCUUAUUUUUAACAGUUAUUGGUUGCAUCAAUGACACCCAUAUUCCUAUAACAGCACCAAUUGGUGGGAAGAAAGGCUAUACUAACAAGAAAGGAUGGAAAUCUAUGGUUUUGCAACCUUAAGUUUUGUAACAUUGAUGUUGUUAUGUCGAGAAGUGUCCAUGAUGGAGCAGUUUUUAAAUAGUCCGGGUUGUUUAGCUAUUUAAACAGUUGGCCGAGGCGAGUAAAAGUUGUACCCCAAUUAAAAUAUAACCUAUCAUGAUAUAUAUUUUGUUAUUACGACACCUAUUUUGUUAAACGAAGUUGAAAUUCCCUUAUUAUUUUGGGUGACCCGGCAUACCCACUACUGCCAUCACAGCAGUAUUCGUAUUUGUGUGUAAAAUGCAUUUGGUGGCGUAUACUAAGUAAGAAAAUGUGGAACAAAAAAUACUGCCUUUUACCAAAAUGUUUUAGAUUUUUCUUUCAUCUAUUAUCCUCAGCCAUACUCACUUCCACAAUUACCUAACGACCCACAUUCUGCUGGUAGCCGUGUUAGACAAGCCAUUGUAGAUUUGCAAACCACUUAGCCUUUUUAACAGUCUAUGCGAUUUGUAAAAUAGUUAACUGUUACCUUCUUUUGGUUUGCAACCCAAGUGUUCUGUUCAUUAUUAUUACCUAUUUUGUAUUUUGAUACUAUUACAGCUAACAA